GCGUUUUCACUUUGAAAAUACAAACAGCCUACAUUUUAAAAACAAUCAAUCGUUUGACAAAAGAAGAUUGUGAAGGAGACCAAGAAACGCUGCCUACCACGAAACGUUUUUAAAGCUUGCGGCUGCAUUUCUUUUUUGACGGGGAAAAGAAUCAAAGGGAAAUCACAAGAACCUUACGGCAUAAAAUAUAUAUUCGCCAACUCGGAAGCAUCCUCAACAGAACUGGGGGAUCAGCAGCUGACACACGCAAUCGAAUAGCGAAAGGUCGCGUUGUAUUUGGUAUAUUAGACAAAGUGUGGAGACCUUCGUAUAUAAAUAAGCGUACGAAACUAAGGGUCUUUGAGUUAAACAUGAAAUCUGUCGUUCUAUAUGGAUUCGAGACAUGAAACACGGCAAUGUGCGAUAUACAUACAAACUCUCCAAGCAUUCAUCAAUCGCUGUCUCCGCAGUGUUGUGCUUGUUUUGUCACGACCUCCAACACUUAUUUCUGGAGUAUGACAUAUCAGGUUCCUAUUCAUCUCGAAAUUCUGCGGCGAAAAUGGAAAUGGAUUGAGCAUACACUUCGAAAGCCUCAUAGAGAUAUUGCAAAAGCAGCCUUUGACUGAUGCCCACAAGGAAGUCACUGGCUCGGGAGACCAUCCAACACGUGGAGGCGACUGGUUGAAGCAGAAGCGCUACAAGCAGAACGUUCAUGGAGACAAAUAAAAUUUCCACGACACGUUAUUUCGUAUGGCUCUAAAACUAUUUGCAUGGCAUUGAUAUCGAUCUUGAAAUACACCCCGCUAGUUUAACGAGCCGAAUGGAAACUCGGAGUGACCAACUGAGUUAGCUGAUAACAUAAUUAUCGAGCGUAGUUACCAGAAAAUCAAGGGACAAAAAAUGUCACCGCUCCAACAUUCGAACUAAACUGUCACUCUGCUAAUGCAUUCAAGCGCAAAGAGACUGAUUUCCAUUCGCUCAGUGAUACAAAUAAUAAAAAUAACUACCUGUAUUUGGACUACUCCGAAA